rnacentral:rRNA from 1 species
UGUUCCCAUGCCGAACACAGAAGUUAAGCUCUCCAGCGCCGAUGGUAGUUGGGGCUUUGCCCCUGCAAGAGUAGGACGCCGCCAGGC